UGUAACUGACUAGGAGGGAAGUGGGAUAUGAGAUUAGGACCAGUGAGAGGGUGGACAUCUAAAGAGCCCUGGGACAUGCUCUGGACGGGAAGCCCUUCACCUUGGCCAGCUCUUCGGGGUACAGCCCAUGGACAUCUCGGAAGGCCUGAAAUCCCAUCCAUGGCCAUCCAUGGGAUUUGGGUGGUCCCCAGGCCAGCAAAACACCAGAUGAGAACUAAGAAGGCAGAACCCGUGUGACCAUCUGACCCCUUAUCCCUCUUCUCCUUGGCAAUAAUUCCUCAUCAUUCUCGUAUUUGGAGUUGAGGCUCAUCUCCCCUACGCCGGCAGUCUCGACACCUGUUGCAGUAGCCCUGAGUAAAGGCUGCCUUACCACUUUAACAUCUGUCAGUAUAAUUCUUUAACAGAUAACACUAAGACAAAUGCCUGUCUACUCUCUUGUGAGUUUUGCGAACUGCCCGAUUGAUCUACUGAUUCGAGGAGCGAUCGCGAGCCUUGGGGUCGGGCUCAGGUGGAAGGCUGAGGCUGCCGGGCUCAGAGAGUGUAAGGGAGGCGGCACCAAGAUGUGGACAGACAUCUCUGCAGCUCCCAGCAUCAGCUCUGAGCUGACCUCCCGGCAGAGUUGGUGGCUACCAAAACGGGGCAUCUCAUUUUUUUUUUUUUUUUUGACAGGCAGAGUUAGACAGUGAGAGAGAGAGCGACAGAGAGAAAGGUCUUCCUUUUGCUGUUGGUUCACCCCCCAAAUGGCUGCCAUGGCCGGCGCGCUGUGCUGAUCCGAAGCCAGGCAUCAGGUGCUUCCUCCUGGUCUCCCACGCAGGUGCAGGGCCCAAGCACCUGGGCCAUCCUCCACUGCCUUCCCGGGCCAUAGCAGAGAGCUGGGCUGGAAGAGGAGCAACUGGGACAGAGUCCGGUGCCCCAGCCGGGACUAGAACACAGGGUGCCGGCACCAUAGGCAGAGGAUUAGCCUAGUGAGCCACGGUGCCAGCCAGGGCAUCUCUUUAUUGAGUGGGAAAUGGAACCCAAGCUCAUGGCUUCCCUCACCCUGACAACCUCCUGUGACCAGGGGCUGUUGGACGAAGAUCUGUGUUGGGACUCUGAACCCCAGAACCCUGCUGGCUCCCACAUGGAGGUGAACCAUUGCAUAGGGCUGGUCCCGCCCUCUCUCCAUGGAGCCUGCUCUCCAUCGGCCACGUCCCAGGAGGAAGAGUUGGUUCUUCAGUGGGCACGACGUGUAGUCUCAACAUUGGGAGCCCAGAGGGCCCCUACAGAUGUGACUCGCUGCCUCGUUUGACAGCUGGGAACCGAACCGUUGGUUUAAAACCCUCCCCUCAUGCCAAACAGCGAAUGUGUGGGCAAAGCCAGUGAUGGAAUCUAGACCUGGAGCUGUGGGAAGCUCCCUUCCCAAUCAGCGGGAUCCUACAGGCUGUCUUCCAAGGGAGUCGGAAAGGGGCUUCGCCAUUAAUUCCCACCCUCGUGGGUGAGAGAAAACGACCCUCUAAACUUUUCUUUGUGGGAGGAGGAAAAAAUAAGAAGCUGUGAUUCAGCAGGGAAUACAAUUUUAAAAAUAAGUCUCGGGGCCAAUGUGUUUAGUGCCCGCCCCGUGGGGAUCCUCAGCCCAUAACUCGGGAGCACAAUGGCCUUUCUUGUUCUGAAUGAGCGUGAAGUGCCGGCAGAGGAAGUAGGAAGCCCCAAUGCGGUCUGAAUGGACCUGUGAACAGGGAUAAUAAAAGUUGUCCUGGAUUUCCGUUACCACCAGGUGUUUCCGCAGGGACUUCCAUCCAUUCAGGCUCGGGGCAGCCGCUGCUGCCAAACCUUCCCCUGUCGACCCUGGCCCCUUGCCCCAUGCCCCUGACCUCCCCAUGGCCACCAGAGGCCACUGGGGCCUGGGCUGCUGGGGCUCUGUGAUGGACAGGUUCUGGUCCCCAUGACCCGGGUCUGUAGAGUUUGUCGUGGAGGAGUCAGCCAGCGAGGAGAGGGAAGGAGGUGGUUGGAUGACAGCUGCUCCCGUCCCCAGUUUCCACAGGGGAAGCUCAUGAAAAGAACCCUAGAUGCGCAGAGAGACAGGUGGCCCUGAGCUGUGGGGGGGUAAAGACAUAGGGGCUGGCAGGUCAGCAGCAGGGAGGUCUGGGGUGAGAAGCGGAGCAGGACAACCCACCCACCUGUGAGGACUGACACUCCUCAUGCAAGGUGCAUGUCCUCAAGCUUGCCCUGUGACCUUGAGCAUGCCACACCCCUCGCCAGCCUGUCCCUUAGUUCCCAAUGAGAAGGCAGCAAUGGCCUGCACACCGAGGGCCACCUUCUAGGAGCUGAAACCGACUGCAACACACAAAUGACUUACCAACAGGGAAGGGGGCUUCCAUUGCAGCCCCCCACAUGAGCCAGGCAGGAUUUUGUGGUGAGCCGAGUCGUGACCAGGCCAUGGAACACACACCUGCUCGCUGCCAGGUUUGCUGAGUCAGACGCCGGGGAGGCCGCCAGGGAUGUGCCGCCGGCCUGAGACCGUGUCACUGGGCCGAUAGUCAGACCCAGGUGAGCUGGAAUUCUGGCAGCCCUGCAAUGCAAUGUCUGUCUCUUUAACUGUCAGCGUGAUACACCCACCUUCCCAGGAUGCACCUGUGCCUCAGUGGGGAUCAGGGCGCAUGCUCAGCCCCCACCCCACUGGUUUAUCUGAUUAAAGUACCUCCCCCUACUGGAGAACGGGGGUGGGGGGUGGGGGGCUGUCUUCACCACACACCACAGUUGGAGGUAUUUUUCUUUGUUUUUUUUUUUUUUUGUUGUUGUUGUUGUUGUUGUUUUUUAAAGAAUUAUUUUACCUAUUUGAAAGAGAGAGGCAGAGAGAGAGAGAGAGAGAGGUCUUCCAUCUGCUGGCUCACUCUCCAAAUGACUGCGACGUCCAGAGCUGCGCCGAUCCGAUGCCAGGAGCCAGGAGCCAGGAGCUUCUUCCAGGUCGCCUACGCAGGUACAGGGGCCCAAGGACUUGGGCCAUCCUCCACUGCUUUCCCAGGCCAUAGCAGAGAGCUGGAUCUGAAGAGGAGCAGCUGGGACUUGAACUGGCACCCAUAUUGCAUGCUGGCGCUGCAGGCUGGGGCUUUAACCUGCUAUACCGCAGUGCCGGCCCCUUCUUUUGUUCUAAAGAUUUAUUUUAUGGGGCCGGCAGCUGUGGCGUAGUGGGCUAAGCCUCCGCCUGUGGUGCCAGCAUCCCAUUUGGACACCUAUUCGUGUCCCGGCUGCUCUACUUUUGAUCCAGCUCCCUGCUAUGGCCUGAGAAAGCAGUGGAAGACGAUCCAAGUCCUUGAGCCCCUGCAUCCACAUGGGAGACCUGGAAGAAGGCCUUGGUUCCUGGCUUCGGCCUGGCCGCUGUGGCCAUUUGGGGCGUGAACCAGCAGAUAGAAGAUGUCUCUUUCUGUCUCUCCUUCCUCUCACUUCUGUAGCUCUGACUUUCAAAUAAAUAAAUAAGUCUAAAAAAAAAAAAAAAAAAGACAACUGGGCUCCUAUCAAAUGCUGGGCUCGAGCUGUAUGCAUCAAGCCGAUUCAUGGCCGUGCUGCCCUGACAUGGGAGAGCCUUGUCGUUCUGAAAUGAGAGGAGUUAUUCUCUCAUGGUAGAAAAUAUCACAAAGUCCUUGGCUCUUUCUAUAGUGGGUGGCUUACAACACUCACCUGCUGGAUGGUCUCGAGGGGCGUAUGUGGACGGCUGAUGCUGCAGCCACUGGAACACGUUCCUCUGCAGCUCCGAGUGUGGUCUGUAAACCCCACCACCUCCUCGCUCAGCCUCUCUUGCUUCUCUGUCAGGUCGGUGAGCCAGAAAAUCGGUGUUUACUCAGAACCUGCGGAGAAGAGCGGUCUUGUCAUUCACAUGUGGUGAGCAAGCUCCAACGAUGGACAGUCCAGGUGUGUGAUCGGUAUCUCCGUGUGUCCCCUGAGGCCUGUGGUAAUUACUCACUAGAGUUCUACGUAAUGACAUCCAAGAGCAGAUGCAUCUUCAGGUCCCCAGGCUGUGAUGAGGGCAGUGAUAACACACAGAUGAGCAGCUUCCUAGUGAAUACAGGGCCGUGUACUCGGGUGGGGUAAUGAGGGUACAAAUGAUGGCGCAGGUAAGAACACUGAGACUCCUGGAAGCACACGGCUUGUCAGAAAUCUCACAGCCUAGUAAGUGGCCAAAACAGUCCUGUCUUCCUGGCCAGCAGAGCCAGCUCUGCAGAGCACUGCCUCCCUCAGCGGCAGCGCCCCUAGUUGCUAAGCUGGCUGAUACAGGCGUUCGUGCCGGGCAAGUUUGUCGGAUUCUGAAACACCACGGAGACCAGAUGACUUUCCCUUUUUUAGAAGUAGGAGGAAGGUCAAGGCUUCCCCAACUCUUCAAGAAGCCAAGUGGGUGGGUGGGUGGCUGGCAUAGUGGGGCCACAACACUAGGGAUACCCACAGCCCAUAUUGGAGAGACGGUCCAAGUCCCAGGUGCUCUGCUUCCAAUCCAGCUCCUUGUCAAGGCACCUGGGAAGCAGCAGACGAUGGCCCAAGUACUUGGGUCCCUGCCGCCCAUGGGGGAGACCUGGAUGGAGUUCCUGGCUCCUGGCUUUAGCUUGCCCCAACCCCAGCUGCUGUGACCAUUUGAUGAACAAAGCAGUAGAUGGAAGAUCUCUCUGUGUCUCUGUCUCUCUCUCUAAUAAAUAAAUAAAGUUCUUUUUAAAAAGAAGUUGAAUGGCCCAGGGCAUCUGUUAGAGCUGAGGGGUGACAACGGUGCUGUCCC